UACAAUGUUGCCAUCUACCAUUAUGUAAAAUAAAUUAUAUUAAUUGAAUAUAUAAAAAAUAAUAUGUUUGCACACAAACAAUUCGUAGAGUUUGUGUGCUCAUCCGAUGCUUUAUCUACAAAAAAAAAUUAUUCUCCAUAUCUGUUCUCAACAUUUAAUGAACUUUGCUUCAUCAGCUCAACCAUAUGCUCUCUAACAA
rnacentral:lncRNA from 1 species